GGAACCACAAGACAGAUGAGACCUCAACUCUCUUAAGCUUUCAUUUUAUGAAGAAGGAAGAUAAUGAAAACAUAAACAAAUUUGAAAGAAUUUUAGAAAGGGAAAAGCGAUACGAUGAGAAACUAAAAUGAAAAGUGACUUGGAAGAAGACGUCUUCUCUGAAGAGCUGGCAAAGGGGAUACAAAUAUUUUUGUUGCCUGGGAUUGGAGAC
rnacentral:lncRNA from 1 species